UACGUAGGGUGCAAGCGUUAAUCGGAAUUACUGGGCGUAAAGCGUGCGCAGGCGGUUUUGUAAGACUGUCGUGAAAUCCCCGGGCUUAACCUGGGAAUGGCGAUGGUGACUGCAAGGCUAGAGUUUGGCAGAGGGGGGUAGAAUUCCACGUGUAGCAGUGAAAUGCGUAGAGAUGUGGAGGAACACCGAUGGCGAAGGCAGCCCCCUGAGUCAAAACUGACGCUCAUGCACGAAAGCGUGGGGAGCAAACAGG
rnacentral:rRNA from 1 species